UAUAAGUGCAAUUAUGAGUUUUCGUGCCCAAUUUUGAUUGUACGUCUUAUUAUUUUUUUUUAUAAUUAGUAUUUUUACUGUUAUGAAAUGAUAAAAUAAGAAUAAUACUUUAUGCGCGACUUAUGUUUUUAAUAUUUUUUUCAAAAAUUUUUCAAAUAAGACGGACGAUUAAAAUUGGGUACGGAAAAUCGUGGCUACACUUAAA
rfam:Oryza sativa (indica cultivar-group) chromosome 4, whole genome shotgun sequence.